rnacentral:rRNA from 1 species
UCAGGACGAACGCUGGCGGCGUGCCUAAUACAUGCAAGUCGAACGAACUCUGGUAUUGAUUGAUGCUUGCAUCAUGAUUUACAUUUGAGUGAGUGGCGAACUGGUGAGUAACACGUGGGAAACCUGCCCAGAAGCGGAGGAUAACACCUGGAAACAGAUGCUAAUACCGCAUAACAACUUGGACCGCAUGGUCUGAGCUUGAAAGAUGGCUUCGGCUAUCACUUUUGGAUGGUCCCGCGGCGUAUUAGCUAGAUGGUGGGGUAACGGCUCACCAUGGCAAUGAUACGUAGCCGACCUGAGAGGGUAAUCGGCCACAUUGGGACUGAGACACGGCCCAAACUCCUACGGGAGGCAGCAGUAGGGAAUCUUCCACAAUGGACGAAAGUCUGAUGGAGCAACGCCGCGUGAGUGAAGAAGGGUUUCGGCUCGUAAAACUCUGUUGUUAAAGAAGAACAUAUCUGAGAGUAACUGUUCAGGUAUUGACGGUAUUUAACCAGAAAGCCACGGCUAACUACGUGCCAGCAGCCGCGGUAAUACGUAGGUGGCAAGCGUUGUCCGGAUUUAUUGGGCGUAAAGCGAGCGCAGGCGGUUUUUUAAGUCUGAUGUGAAAGCCUUCGGCUCAACCGAAGAAGUGCAUCGGAAACUGGGAAACUUGAGUGCAGAAGAGGACAGUGGAACUCCAUGUGUAGCGGUGAAAUGCGUAGAUAUAUGGAAGAACACCAGUGGCGAAGGCGGCUGUCUGGUCUGUAACUGACGCUGAGGCUCGAAAGUAUGGGUAGCAAACAGGAUUAGAUACCCUGGUAGUCCAUACCGUAAACGAUGAAUGCUAAGUGUUGGAGGGUUUCCGCCCUUCAGUGCUGCAGCUAACGCAUUAAGCAUCC